GGGGGGCUGCGGCCGCGGCAGCUGCUCGCUUAUUUUUAGAGCAUUUCCAUUCCUCCGGUUAAUUUUAGAUCGAUUCAUUAUUUAGCCCCAGUUCGCCUUCAGGGAAACCCAAGCUGGGGGGGAGGCCGGAGCCCCGCGGGACUGUGCGGGGCUGCCCCCAGCCGGGGCGCUGCGGGACUCGGUGGGUGCGGGCAGCCCUGUCCCCAGGGAGGGGGAGACCCAGCCUCUGGGAUGGGGUUUGGAUGGUGGGCAUGGACACGGAGAGAGGACUGCUGGUAUUCAAGGACUUCUCCUGUGCCUGGUGGAGCCAGCAGGACCCUUGGCAUUGGCAGAGCUGGAACACAACUAGGUCCAAAUCUUCCCUUCGCAUUGCAGCCACUCCUUUGGAAGAAAAACGUGAGACUAGACAAGCCUCUGAAGGAGGAGCAAAGUUUUGUUUUCCACCCGGGACACCUCAGCAACCAGUCUGUGUUUCCUUUGAAAACGGAGAGGUUUAGAAAAACUCCCGAGGAGAAAUGA
rnacentral:lncRNA from 1 species